CACUCCUUAUAAUGCCACCCACUUUAAGCCUCUUUUAAGGGAUAUCUAGCAGUUUAAGAAAUCAAUUUGGGCAUUCAAAGUUAAUCAUAUCUUCAGUGAAAAAGCAAUCAAUAGCAGAUUGGUUAGCUCCAGCUCCUCUUUAGUCCAAUCUGGUAGUCCUCAGCUUGUUUGCAAUUUAACAAUUAAUCUUUGGCUAUCU
rnacentral:lncRNA from 1 species